UACGUAGGGGGCGAGCGUUGCUCGGAAUUACUGGGCGUAAAGCGUGCGCAGGCGGUUUUGUAAGACAGAGGUGAAAUCCCCGGGCUCAACCUGGGAACUGCCUUUGUGACUGCAAAGCUGGAGUGCGGCAGAGGGGGAUGGAAUUCCGCGUGUAGCAGUGAAAUGCGUAGAUAUGCGGAGGAACACCGAUGGCGAAGGCAAUCCCCUGGGCCUGCACUGACGCUCAUGCACGAAAGCGUGGGGAGCAAACAGGAUUAGAUAACCCCUGUAGUCC
rnacentral:rRNA from 1 species